rnacentral:pre_miRNA from 1 species
AUCAUGAUUGCUGGAUCAUAUGGUUAAGAGGACAUUUGGUUUUGUGAGAAAUUGCCAAAUUACUUUCCAAAACGGAUGUACCAUUUGGAACUCCCAUCAGUAAU